rnacentral:rRNA from 1 species
UACGAAGGGGGCUAGCGUUGCUCGGAAUCACUGGGCGUAAAGGGUGCGUAGGCGGGUCUUUAAGUCAGGGGUGAAAUCCUGGAGCUCAACUCCAGAACUGCCUUUGAUACUGAGGAUCUUGAGUUCGGGAGAGGUGAGUGGAACUGCGAGUGUAGAGGUGAAAUUCGUAGAUAUUCGCAAGAACACCAGUGGCGAAGGCGGCUCACUGGCCCGAUACUGACGGCUGAGGCACGGAAAAGCGAUGGGGGAGCAAAGCAGGG